CAUUGUUUGUUUGUUUGUUUGUUUGUUUGUUUGUGUGUCUCUUUGUUUGUUUGUUUGUUUGUAGUUUGAGUUGCAGUGGAUGCUGAUUCACUGUGACCCAAAGCGAGCUCAGAGAGAGAGCUGCACUGAGCUUCCCAUGUCUGAGAUGUAUGCCAAUGCUGAGCCGGACCCAAAGCCAAUCCCUGGACCUGCUGGACCUCAGGGCCCUCCAGGGCCUCGGGGACCUUCAGGAGAAGACGGUCGUGAUGGAAGAGAUGUAAGCUUUCCUUCUUCU
rnacentral:lncRNA from 1 species